rnacentral:rRNA from 1 species
AACGAACGCUGGCGGCAGGCCUAACACAUGCAAGUCGAGCGAGACCUUCGGGUCUAGCGGCGGACGGGUGAGUAACGCGUGGGAAUAUGCCCUUUGGUACGGAAUAGCCUCGGGAAACUGAGAGUAAUACCGUGUGUGCCCUUCGGGGGAAGGAUUUAUCGCCAAAGGAUUAGCCCGCGUUGGAUUAGGUAGUUGGUGGGGUAAUGGCCUACCAAGCCUACGAUCCAUAGCUGGUUUGAGAGGAUGAUCAGCCACACUGGGACUGAGACACGGCCCAGACUCCUACGGGAGGCAGCAGUGGGGAAUCUUAGACAAUGGGGGCAACCCUGAUCUAGCCAUGCCGCGUGAGUGAUGAAGGCCUUAGGGUUGUAAAGCUCUUUCAGCUGGGAAGAUAAUGACGGUACCAGCAGAAGAAGCCCCGGCUAACUCCGUGCCAGCAGCCGCCGCCGUAA